UGAGUAACCUGCCUCAAAGAGGGGAAUAGCCUCCCGAAAGGGAGAUUAAUACCGCAUAAUAUGUUUAAGUCGCAUGACUUUAACAUCAAAGGAUUUUCUUUUAGAAAUUCCACUUUGAGAUGGACCCGCGGCGCAUUAGCUAGUUGGUGAGGUAACGGCUCACCAAGGCAACGAUGCGUAGCCGACCUGAGAGGGCGACCGGCCACACUGGGACUGAGACACGACCCAGACUCCUAGGGACGG
rnacentral:rRNA from 1 species